rnacentral:rRNA from 1 species
AUUGAACGCUGGCGGCAGGCCUAACACAUGCAAGUCGAGCGAGUGGCGGACGGGUGAGUAAUGUAUGGGGAACUGCCUGAUGGAGGGGGAUAACUACUGGAAACGGUAGCUAAUACCGCAUACUAUCGUAUGAACCCAGAUGGGAUUAGCUAGUAGGUGGGGUAAAGGCUCACCUAGGCGACGAUCUCUAGCUGGUCUGAGAGGAUGACCAGCCACACUGGGACUGAGACACGGCCCAGACGCCUACGGGAGGCAGCAGUGGGGAAUAUUGCACAAUGGGCGCAAGCCUGAUGCAGCCAUGCCGCGUGUAUGAAGAAGGCCUUCGGGUUGUAAAGUACUUUCAGCGGGGAGGCGUUACCCGCAGAAGAAGCACCGGCUAACUCCGUGCCAGCAGCCGCGGUAAUUC